GCCUGAAAUUAGCUCAGUUGGUUAGAGCAUGGUGCCAAUAACACCAAGGUUGUGAGUUCAAUCCCUGUAUGGGCC
rnacentral:tRNA from 1 species